CGUAAUAAUAGAAACUAACCAGGAUUCCCUUAGUAACGGCGAGUGAACUGGGAUACCAACAAAAUACAUGUGCCUCGCGCGCAUGAUUUAGCCCGUCGAUACUAUCCUAGCAUAUUACCGGUCUCGGCCGGUAACCCAAUAUGCGGGAAUUGUAGCAUCGUAAUAAAAAUAAAAUAUAUACACGCACACACACCCACCGCGUACAUUCUUGUAAACACACAGCGUCUCCGCGUUGGAAAGCAAGUUUAUAUCCUCUUUGGAUAUGCCAUAGAGUGUGACAGCCACGUUUCACUCAUAUAACACGUACGCACACACACACACACGCCCCGUGCACUAAUAUAUAUUUCUAUAACCUGAGUCGAGUUAUUU
rnacentral:rRNA from 2 species